UCCCCACCUCCAAGCUUAUGUCCCCAUAUACUGUGCUUGCCCUUCUAGACAGCCAACCCAAAACACACUGGUGUCCCUCUGAGACUUGAAUUGCUUUAGCAAUUCUCCACCGCCCCCCACCAUCAAUUUUCCCCUUUUCCACUGGAACAUACAUGUUAUUUCUCCCAUCUUACAAAAUUUUCAUCUGUACUUUCUCCUCCAGCUACCACCCAAUUUCUCUAUUUCCCUUUACAGCAAAAUCCCAUGAGCGAGUUGGUUAUUAGUUAUUAUUACUUGUUUCCAACUCCUCUCCUCCCACUCACUCUUAAACCCACUCAAGCCUAGCUUUCACGAUCACUCACUGAAACUGCUUUUGCUAAGGUCACCAGUGACUCCAUAUUGAUAAAUCCAAUGGCUAACUCUCAGUCCCAUUCUUAUUUGACACUUCAGCAGCUUGACACUUAUUCGCAAAAACAACUUCAGUUUGGUUCCAGGACAUGAUACUUUCUUCUUCCCAUCUCAUAGGCUACCUGUCUCUUUUGCUGGUUUUACCUCUUUUCCCUGACUUUUGAACAUUGCUCUAGUUACCCCAGGGCUUGCCCUUGAAGCUUUCUUUUCUCAGUCUAUACCAACUUCCUUCAUGAUCUCAACCAAUCUCAGGGCUUUCAAUGACACCCAUAUGAUGACUUUCAUGGACAGAAGAG
rnacentral:lncRNA from 10 species